UACGUAGGGUGCGAGCGUUAAUCGGAAUUACUGGGCGUAAAGCGUGCGCAGGCGGUUCGUUGUGUCCGUCGUGAAAGCCCCGGGCUUAACCUGGGAACUGCGAUGGAAACUAGCGAGCUGGAGUGUGGCAGAGGCGAGUGGAAUUCCUGGUGUAGCGGUGAAAUGCGUAGAUAUCAAGAGGAACACCUGAGGUGAAGACGGGUUGCUGGGCUGACACUGACGCUGAGGCGCGAAAGCCAGGGGAGCAAACGGG
rnacentral:rRNA from 1 species